UAAUACAGAGGUCUCGAGCGUUAGGCGGAAUCACUGGGCUUAAAGCGUGUGUAGGCGGGUCGUUAAGUGCCUUGUGAAAUCCCACGGCUCAACCGUGGAACUGCUGGGCAUACUGGCGAUCUUGUGCAACCUAGGGGCGAGCGGAACAGACGGUGGAGCGGUGAAAUGCGUAGAUAUCGUCUGGAACGCCAAUGGUGAAAACAGCUCGCUGGGGGUUUGCAGACGCUGAGACACGAAAGCCAGGGGAGCGAACGGGAUUAGAUACCCCGGUAGUCCUGGCCCUAAACGAUGUCCACUAGAUCGUAGCUGCUCUGACGUAGUUAUGGUCGAAGCAAAAGUGCUAAGUGGACCGCCUGGGAAGUACGGUCGCAAGGCUA
rnacentral:rRNA from 1 species